rnacentral:rRNA from 1 species
UAACCUGCCCAAGAGAUCGGGAUAACACCUGGAAACAGAUGCUAAUACCGGAUAACAACAGAUGAUGCCUAUCAACUGUUUAAAAGAUGGUUCUGCUAUCACUCUUGGAUGGACCUGCGGUGCAUUAGCUAGUUGGUAGGGUAAUGGCCUACCAAGGCGAUGAUGCAUAGCCGAGUUGAGAGACUGAUCGGCCACAUUGGGACUGAGACACGGCCCAAACUCCUACGGGAGGCAGCAGGA